rnacentral:lncRNA from 1 species
GUAGAAAGGAAAACUGUUUGUUGUCUAGUCUAUUUCAGCCUCAUUCAGAUCAAGAUGAUGGAUCUAUUCCUUAUUAUUAUUUUUUGGGUUUUACCAUUUAACAUUAUUUCUUCAUCCAGCUGUCUCAAGGGUUUCUAAAAAUUCAGCUCUAGACUGCAGAUGAGGGCAAGGACUUCAUAGAAGUGAAAUUCUAUUACACAAAUGACUUAUCCAAAACUUUUCAGAGUCUAAUUGUGAAAGGCUUUCAUGAAGAAGUUUGUAAGAAUAAUUGUGUUAUCUCUGAAAAGCUGAGCAUCUUGCACACACUGUUGAUGUUAAGGGUCCUGCAUGGCAGAAGCAGCAUGGCAGAACAUUUUAUACAGAAAUACAGACCAGCUAUCUUCAAGUGCUGCGUGUCAAGCCAGUCCUUCAGUUCACUUGCUUCAUGAUUUCUCAGCCCUGCAUUACUCUGUCAUCAAAAGAGUUUUUCUGUCAGCACAUGAGCUUUUCUCUAUGUGUCAGUGACAAACAUGUUGGCUCCAUUUCCACUGCAGAAGAACCACACUUCAAUGCACAGGUUUUUGUACAACUGGACUUCUCAGACAGAUUUCUGUUGCUACAUUUAUGUAGCAAAGGCAUCUUUGUGGGAGAUUUAGGUCAAAAUCCCAAAAUUAAAGGUAAAUAUUAUAUGCACAAAUGCAUACCUAAUAUGCAAAACUGAUAAGCACAUAACACUUCAG